rnacentral:rRNA from 1 species
GCAGUGGGUACGGGCAGACUAGAGUGCGGUAGGGGAGAUUGGAAUUCCUGGUGUAGCGGUGGAAUGCGCAGAUAUCAGGAGGAACACCGAUGGCGAAGGCAGAUCUCUGGGCCGUAACUGACGCUGAGGAGCGAAAGGGUGGGGAGCAAACAGGCUUAGAUACCCUGGUAGUCCACCCCGUAAACGUUGGGAACUAGUUGUGGGGUCCAUUCCACGGAUUCCGUGACGCAGCUAACGCAUUAAGUUCCCCGCCUGGGGAGUACGGCCGCAAGGCUAAAACUCAAAGGAAUUGACGGGGACCCGCACAAGCGGCGGAGCAUGCGGAUUAAUUCGAUGCAACGCGAAGAACCUUACCAAGGCUUGACAUAUACGAGAACGGGCCAGAAAUGGUCAACUCUUUGGACACUCGUAAACAGGUGGUGCAUGGUUGUCGUCAGCUCGUGUCGUGAGAUGUUGGGUUAAGUCCCGCAACGAGCGCAACCCUCGUUCUAUGUUGCCAGCACGUAAUGGUGGGAACUCAUGGGAUACUGCCGGGGUCAACUCGGAGGAAGGUGGGGAUGACGUCAAAUCAUCAUGCCCCUUAUGUCUUGGGCUUCACGCAUGCUACAAUGGCCGGUACAAAGGGCUGCAAUACCGCGAGGUGGAGCGAAUCCCAAAAAGCCGGUCCCAGUUCGGAUUGAGGUCUGCAACUCGACCUCAUGAAGUCGGAGUCGCUAGUAAUCGCAGAUCAGCAACGCUGCGGUGAAUACGUUCCCGGGUCUUGUACACACCGCCCGUCAAGUCAUGAAAGUCGGUAACACCUGAAGCCGGU